UACGGAGGAUCCGAGCGUUAUCCGGAUUUAUUGGGUUUAAAGGGUGCGUAGGUGGUUUGAUAAGUCAGCGGUGAAAGUUUGCAGCUUAACUGUAAAAAUGCCGUUGAAACUGUCGGACUAGAGUGCAGGAGAGGUAAGUGGAAUUCCUAGUGUAGCGGUGAAAUGCAUAGAUAUCACGCAGAACUCCGAUUGCGAAGGCAGCUUACUAAGCUACAACUGACACUGAAGCACGAAAGCGUGGGGAUCAAAC
rnacentral:rRNA from 1 species